rnacentral:rRNA from 1 species
GGCAGUAGAGGACGUGCGCAGUAAUGCUACGCAUUAGUCUGCCGCGGAAUUAGCCUGCCGCGUCGUCCGCCGACUACGCGCGGAAUUCCAACAAAAGUUCAGAAAAGGGAAAAGGUAGCGGAGGAGGAGGAGUGGUUUGCACGAAGGGAAACCCCAAAAGAGUAACCACGCACGCAAAACCUAAGGGAAGGGGAAGGGUGGGGCGAGGGGGAAAAGCUAACACGACGCGCUCUCUUUAGCGUAAAAAACCCCCACCUAAAGCGAGUAGCCAAAGAACGGGACCAUGCCAGGGCAGCGGACUACACUUCUACCGCUCGUCACGUAGGCUCUUCACCCGACACCACGUUAUGCCUGUGGUGCCAGGACGUUGGUUUCAGAUGGCCAAAGUCUAGGACAACGGUUUACCGUGUUCGUGGUCGGAGUUCGACGCGCUAGGACCUCUUCUCUACGGCGAAGGACUAAAGAAUGUAGCAUAAGCCCUUCUCAACCCGCUACGGAGGCGUAUACCACCAGUUUCCGCCCCUUAACUUACCCUACCGCUACAAAUAGAUCUCCUGGACGACCUGUCUUUCUAUCUGUUCUUUCACGUCAAGACACUAAAACAGUGCUUCCCAUGAUUGUAUAAUUCUGAGGUCCUACCACUUCUUAAACAGGCCUGUAUACUCUUAUACACCCUGGAAUGUGGAGGCUGACUUGACGAAGUUCUCGAAGGCCGUCUUAUAUCGUGACUCUCACGAGAACGUCUGGAACAACUGUUGAGUAAUGUCCGAAACACCAGUUUACCAUCGUUUCUUUAUUUCAAUUAGUCCUAUUGACAACUACCUCUUUUCUAACACCAAAAACUAUGACCAUCCCCCUACCUGCCAAGUCUUCUAUUAAGAUAGAGAUUUACCCCAUGUUACCCAAGAAGAUUGGUGUCUCAUAAAGCCUUUGUUCCAUAGCCGCCCUUUCGCGGUAUGAAUCACGGAAAGAAACCGUACAAACCGAUACCACCUUGAUAACGUAGCUACGUAGAACCUUCUUGACGGUAUCAAAGAAGAUUUUGAUUCCUUAGUUCCUUUCACAAAUGGAACGUAGAAAGCUCCCUCCGAGACAACCUCUUCAGAAGUAGAUUUGAGUCGACCUUCUGACGACCUCCUCAAUCUCUAGGUAGACUUCUUCUCAACCGUGACAGCGGUGUAGCUUCAAAAUGUGUCCACCUUUAGGUGCCGAACUUAUCCGUGAACCUCGGUCGAUUUGAAGCUCCUAAAGACUUCCUGUAUAUAAAAGGUAUAUAUGUCAUACUGCUCCUAUUACCUAGACGCUCAUGUUCCUCCGGUCAAGUUAAACUCCACUUACCACAUCUAAAUCGUCUUUAUGUCCUUUCACUUCACUGUGAAUGAUUAGACGUGAGAAGAUUACCAGGACUAAAGCUAGACGUAGAUUUUAAACGAACAUGAAGUUGUUUACGUCGAUCAGCGGUUCGUGUACGAGCCUAGUUCACACAUAUGAAAGGUUAACAGUUCCCUUUUCUUAGAUAGCUAAGAUAAAAUCUUUUCAAUUCGCUUUUACCGAACCCCCACUUUCUUUUGAAACUGUUAAAAAGUGCACACAGUCAGGCGGCUGAACCGGCCAAUGAGGGACUACGUUCUACCCCAAGAGAAGGAAAGUACCUUGGAUUUGUCUUAUUUCCUGUUUUUCGACUUGAGGACUUCGCUACGACGUUCUCCCACUUUACAAAACAACUUUGCCUACGCCCAAAAUUAGGUUGAGAAAGAUUCUGACUAAAUCGUGUUGUGCUACAAAAAUGAUUCCGUGAAGCGACGAAACUACCGUCAACAGUAUUACUGUCGAGUCAACUCCUCCAAUCACAACUACGAGCAUUUCCACUUUCUAGUGAUUUAGCGUGCGUUAACCUCUUCGUCAUAGUGCUGACCUAAUUAUUAUACGUACGUUUCAUACUGCACCUUUACCUGCCUCCCCUGCUGCUCGUAUGACAAUAAUAGUUGGGUUCGUUGUUCCUCGCUGAACCUUAUAGAUUUCUACAACUUCAAUAAUCUCAAGUGUGGAGCCAAUCGUCUUUUCCUUUUUGUACCUCUUCUCCUCUAGUAGACUUUUAGGUUGGUUCUCAUCAACGUGCUUACUUUUUGUUAAAGAUGAGUAGCUUUUCGUUAAAGAUACCUUGUGACCUUAUACAACAACAACUUCCUGAAGCUCCUCUAUAGACACCACUUCGAGCUGAAUAUACGUCCAGAUAACUCACGGGACCACUAGUUCCAACGAAUGAGCUCCAUCCAGUUCUAUCACACGUGGAAUUAUAGUUCCUUAGAAAGAGGAAGGGAUAGUCGCACUAUCUACUAUUGUUCACAGUUUGGUACCUGCUCCUAAGCACCACAGUUUACGAAUCUUUCUUUUCACGUUUCCGAGGUCGCACAUAACUCCAGAAUGCCUUAAGUGUUCCGUUACUAGAACGAUAUCUACCCCUACAUGGCAAACUUUUUCAAUAUCGCCGACCAAUAUUGGUAGGUGCACUUUAAUAUCGACAUUAGGCCGGUGUUUUGCGAUGUUGGACGAGGUGGUCGGAGGAACUGUUCUCUAUAUAACACUUCCUACUACUAGAUCUCUACCGUUACCUCUAAAUAGUAGACGGACCUUCGUUUCUAGUAGGAGCACGUUUCGAAUAAAUAUUUUUCGAGUUCUUUGGGAGUAGCACGUUAUCGUAUUUACCUGACAUAUAGAAAGUCAACUCGCUUCUCUGUUCGUACAAAUGAUUUAGACCACAAAUGUCAAAAUAAAAGAGUCAAUCCACGUCUCUAAGUUGACAGUAAUUCGUACUUAGCUCCUAUUGUCAAGCAGGUUUGAGGUUAUGAUCUGUAACCGUCAAUAGGACGCUACGACUAACCAGACGACUGUUACGACAUCAUCUAUAUUCCGAACCUUACGGUCAAUCUACAGAACGUCGAUCUUCGGUACUAAACAUACCCUUGCCUUAAGGAAAGGAACUACAUGUAUUCCGGCAGUAUUGAUAUGAACCACCACUACUAUAAGAUCGAGUCCAAUUCCUGUAGUUUCACCUAGAGAGUUGUCUAAAUAACUGAGACAUAUAGUCUCUAAAAGACAAGUUUUGGUUGUUUAACCUGUCUCAUUCCGGCUUAAUACUUCGCUACAAUUUCUAAAGAAAUAGACUAUCACUUGAGAGAGUAGGUACAUUUCAAUUCGGUCCAGAAGGCAGUUGUUAAUUAUACCUAUACAGGGAACGAACCCUCUUCUUAAAUUGAGGACCUCUUCAAUAACUACUACGGGAAGAUCUCCACGAGCUAGUAACACCGUUAGUACAACUUCUUCCCUGCCUUGAAUAACAGUUAUGACAACCUGAGAGGAAACAUCUAUUUACGCCUGGACAAGCUUUCCAUUUGUCGCUUCCUAAACAACUGGAUGCACCUUACGAAUUUCAACAAUCGCCUAAACCAAGUCUUCGAACAAACUGCUAAAAAGUAGUGUUCUUUUUCUAAAAGUUAUCUUGUAAAGUUUAACGAUAGUCCUUAAACUUUCGACAAUUCCAAGGCCUUUCAACAGGACGACCCUGGAAGAACCUCUUGUAUUAUAAACUUCAAAGACUGACACUACCUCACUAACUGCUCAGUUAUGUACCUGAGGUUGUAUGUGAAUCGUAGUCCAGCUUAGUUAAUUUUCUACACGUUCCUCGUGUUAUACGUAAACUUGUACCUUCUACACAAGAAGGAGCACGUGUCCAAGGAUUACUUGGUCCUUGUCAGUCAAAACACCGUAUAGUAUGUGUAAAAAGACUGGACCUUUGUUAUUAAGUCUAAGUACAAAUACGAGAACUAAAUCACGCUCAUUUGAGCCUCUUGCUGAAACUUGGAUAUACGUCGAUGGGUUGAAGUAGAGAUAGUUCAGUUCUAGAAAAUAGAGGUUCAGUUGAACGAAGAACAGUUAGACAAUCUAUGUAACUCCUACGAGACUCCUUUCAAAGACUACUCUAACUUAGUUAACUAAGGUUAUAUGCGAGACUUCUUCUUUACUAAUUUAAAGAACUAAGAGUUUUCUUUAGACACCUCUUAGCAUAACGGUCAGACUUUCUACUCUAACCGGUGUCUCAACCGCGUUUUCUCUAUUGAGCAGUAUUUUAACUUCUCUUACAACCAUGACGACGACGACAAGAUACAUUAGAGAGGUUGGCAUUUCGUAUACUUGGUCCCGCUAGAAAGUUCCUACUUCAACAACCAUAACAACGAGAAGAGCCUUGACAACGAUUGUCUCUAGAGUCAUCCUACGAAAGACACAUAGAACCACUUCUGUUGUACGAACGUCACCAAACGUUCUGAGUCCUACGACGAUUAAUGAAACUUUUUAUACUGUGACUUCCUUUACACCUAUAAGCGAAACCAUAAGUAGUCCUUCGUCGAUUUGAUCCUCAGGGUUAUUCGUCCUCUAAAGGAUAGUAUACGGACCUACUUUAUUCCGGUAUAUUACCUCUGCAGAAAACCUUGUAUUCCGUUUUUUUCGAUUUAGACGGAAAAGGUGUAAGCUUCUGCGUGUUCCCUAAAGCACCCGAACGCCAGUUGAACUAGUUAGAAAGACGUCUCUUGAACCUCUAUUAGUGUUCAUCACCUGUACCAGAGGCACUUUGGAAUAAAAUAUCCGAGAAACCUCUCGAAGUUCAAAUACUUUGUGCCUUACUGUACGCCGUUCGAUACGGAGUAAACUCCUUACCCCGAUAUAGAAACCUACCACCCUAAUAUUUCCCACUACCAUACGACGACGAGCCAAUGUCACUGGGCCUCUAGUAUAAAGGACAGUACGGACUACGAGGGCUGUAAGACCUUCUGGGACUCCUACACAAGUGGUUUCAUUUUUUCUACUUGCGUCUCUUCUCACAAGACCUUUGCCACCUCUUGUUCUAUUCUUUUCGGCUUCUCUUAGCCGUCUUUAACCAGUACUUCGCGUUGUUCUUCUUUGCGUUUAAGCUGCUCUACCGCCUCCAUUACUCGGUCGGGUCACCGUCGGUCGAACUAGUCAUAGUGGGUCACAGUGUCAUCUGCUUACCCGAACAUCGUUAGAUUGUUACACCAGAUGUUUCUACCAGUGUACCGUAGUAUAAUUGACGACUUGACAAGAUCAACAAAUACUUAGAACAAUGAGAUCAAAAGAUACCCUAAUCGACUACCUGACUAAUUGUACGAUGAUCGUUACGUUGAUCCGUCACAAACUGAUUUAGAUUACGAAUAGUAAAAUGACGCAAGUCAAGAGAACACACAAAUCUUGGAACAGACAUACGUAUCAUAAAGAUACACAGCGACGACGAGACUUUUAACAACGUGCACGACAAUUUUUCCCGUCGUGUACCGUUACAUCCAACAUUCAACAUCCCUUGUACGGGACCUCAAAGAACUGUGAGGUUGUUUAGUGUACGUAGACCCGUCAGUAUUCCCGAGUAUACGGCCUUUAUGUCUUCCCGAGUCCUCUUACGGCCCACAUUAUUUGUUAAACCG